UCCUACGGGAGGCAGCAGUGGGGAAUUUUGGACAAUGGGCGCAAGCCUGAUCCAGCCAUGCCGCGUGAGUGAAGAAGGCCUUCGGGUUGUAAAGCUCUUUCGGCGGGGAAGAAAUCGCAUUCUCUAAUACAGGAUGUGGAUGACGGUACCCGAAUAAGAAGCACCGGCUAACUACGUGCCAGCAGCCGCGGUAA
rnacentral:rRNA from 1 species